UACAGAGGGGGCCAGCGUUAUUCGGAAUUACUGGGCGUAAAGCGCACGUAGGCGGCUUUGUAAGUUAGAGGUGAAAGCCCAGGGCUCAACCCUGGAAUUGCCUUUAAGACUGCAUCGCUUGAACAUCGGAGAGGUAAGUGGAAUUCCGAGUGUAGAGGUGAAAUUCGUAGAUAUUCGGAAGAACACCAGUGGCGAAGGCGACUUACUGGACGAUUGUUGACGCUGAGGUGCGAAAGCGUGGGGAGCAAACAGG
rnacentral:rRNA from 1 species